AGGAAGAUUCAUCUUGCUACAAGAUGGAACGUCAGCUUGAGAAGCUCCUGCCAGCUCCAGGGCUCUCUAUCACAUCCAGUUUUGAGGCCCAGGCUGGGUCUGUGUUAGAAAGUGCUGCAGAAAACGUGUGACCAGAGCAACAGCCAGCCUCUAAGAAAAUAGAGCUGAGCCAUUUCAAUCCCUCCCUCCUUGCUCCCCUGGAUCCAGGACUGCAGCAUUAUUCCCAACCUUUUAACUGCAGCUACAUCAGCUCUGUCUGGGACACUUUGGAUUCAUCCAGUCUGGGAGGAACACCCUGAAAAUGUUUAGGACUAUGAGAAGUCCCUUUCCUGACAGGACUCACACCUCUGCCCAGCAGCUGACCAAGGACCAGAGAACAUUCCCACCACAGCAAUUCCACCCAGAUUAGAGGGUGGGCACUUCAGGACCUAUCAGGUGGGCAGCAGAAGAGAACUCCCUGCAGACUGGAGGUGACACUGGAGCCUUCAUCCUGCCCUGGGUGGGCUGAGGGGCUGGGGAGUCCUGGGGGAACGUGACUUUAUUUCCAAGGUGUUCUGUAGUCCUCAUCCCAAGAUCCUUUGAAUCCGUGAGGUUUCCUUUUUGCCUUCACUGGGUUGCACUGGGGGUCCAGUCGGAGCAGGGGUGCUGAAGGGGUUCAGGAUCAGAGGGUCAGUGACAGCUUCAGGGUGAGUUUGGGUCCCUUUGCCUUCCCUGGGGCAGAGACUUGUCCUUGGGGUAGGGUUCAUCCCACGUAACUCAUCCCACCAAACCUGGGCUUCCUCCAGAGUCAACAAAGAGAGAUGAGCAAAAGGAGAGGGGAUUCACCUCUCCAGAUUCUCCCAAAUCCUUUCCGAGCCCUUGAGGGGGGCUCAUCCAGACCCACCCCAGGAGCUGGUGAGGAGCACAGGGAUUGCUCUGAGUGUCAGCCCUGAGUGUGAUCUUCAGCCAAAGCAGUGAUGUAUAAAGUUCAUUU